GUGCUGGUUGCUGAAGUGAAGUUCAAUCUCCCUCUGUUGAUCUGUGUCCUACUUUCCUCAGAGGUCCCAGCGCCCAGGUGAGGCACAGCUGAAGCGCAUCACUUAAUCAGCGGCUCACGGGGUGUGACACAGAUGAGGCGUAUAUCAGAUGAUCACCGUCCCUACUUAAAGCACUGUCAGACGCUCCUUCAUCGCCAGAUCAUUGAGCUCUCCUGCCUACUACCCUGCCCAUCCUGGUCCUCUGAUCCUCCUGGUUCCUGCCGCUCUCCUGUCUACUCACCAGUCCGUCCUGAUCUUUUGAUCCUCCUGGUUCCUGCUGCUCUCCUGCCUACUUAUCUGCCCAUCCUUUCAGCCUCUACUCCUCUACCCUGGUCGGACCACUCCAACCCCAUUGACCUUGUCUUCCUCCAUCUGCUUACAUUCUGUAAUAAAGACUCUUU